rnacentral:rRNA from 1 species
UACGAAGGGUGCUAGCGUUGUUCGGAAUUACUGGGCGUAAAGCGCGCGCAGGCGGCUUUCUAAGUCAGAGGUGAAAUGCCACGGCUCAACCGUGGAACUGCCUUUGAAACUGGGAAGCUGGAGUCUUGGAGGGGGUGGCGGAAUUCCUAAUGUAGCGGUGAAAUGCGUAGAUAUUAGGAGGAACACCGAUGGCGAAGGCAGCCACCUGGACAAGCACUGACGCUGAGGCGCGAAAGCGCGGGGAUCAAACAGG